rnacentral:rRNA from 1 species
UGGGGAAUAUUGGACAAUGGGCGCAAGCCUGAUCCAGCCAUGCCGCGUGAGUGAUGACGGCCUUAGGGUUGUAAAGCUCUUUCGCACGCGACGAUAAUGACGGUAGCGUGAGAAGAAGCCCCGGCUAACUUCGUGCCAGCAGCCGCGGUAAUACGAAGGGGGCUAGCGUUGUUCGGAAUCACUGGGCGUAAAGGGCGCGUAGGCGGCUUUGUAAGUCGGGGGUGAAAGCCUGUGGCUCAACCACAGAAUUGCCUUCGAUACUGCGAGGCUUGAGACCGGAAGAGGUUAGUGGAACUGCGAGUGUAGAGGUGAAAUUCGUAGAUAUUCGCAAGAACACCAGUGGCGAAGGCGGCUGACUGGUCCGGAUCUGACGCUGAGGCGCGAAAGCGUGGGGAGCAAACA